rnacentral:rRNA from 1 species
GAGACCUACAAGUCGAGCAGGGUCGAAAGACGGACUUAGUGAUCCGGUGGUUCCGCAUGGAAGGGCCAUCGCUCAACGGAUAAAAGCUACCCCGGGGAUAACAGGCUUAUCUCCCCCAAGAGUUCACAUCGACGGGGAGGUUUGGCACCUCGAUGUCGGCUCAUCGCAUCCUGGGGCUGUAGUCGGUCCCAAGGGUUGGGCUGUUCGCCCAUUAAAGCGGUACGCGAGCUGGGUUCAGAACGUCGUGAGACAGUUCGGUCCCUAUCCGUCGUGGGCGUAGGAAAUUUGAGAGGAGCUGUCCUUAGUACGAGAGGACCGGGAUGGACAUACCUCUGGUGUACCAGUUGUCGUGCCAACGGCAUAGCUGGGUAGCUAUGUGUGGACGGGAUAAGUGCUGAAAGCAUCUAAGCAUGAAGCCCCCCUCAAGAUGAGAUUUCCCAACUUCGGUUAUAAGAUCCCUCAAAGAUGA